GACGUAGGAGGCGAGCGUUGUCCGGAUUCAUUGGGCGUAAAGAGCGCGCAGGCGGUUUGGCAAGUCGGGUGUGAAAACCCGAAGCUCAACUUCGGGCCUGCAUCCGAAACUGCCCGACUAGAGGUAGGUAGGGGAGAUCGGAAUUCCUGGUGUAGCGGUGAAAUGCGCAGAUAUCAGGAGGAACACCGGUGGCGAAGGCGGAUCUCUGGGCCUUACCUGACGCUCAGGUGCGAAAGCUAGGGGAGCGAACAGG
rnacentral:rRNA from 1 species